CUGUCUUUUUGUUUUGUUUACGGUUUCCUUUGCUGUGCAAAAGCUUAUAGGUUUGAUGAGGUCCAUGUUUAUUUUUGCUUUCAUUUCUUUUGCCUUGGGAGACUGAUCUAAGAAAAUGCUGCUACGAUUUAUGUCCAAAGGAAAAGUUUUCCCUAGGUUCACAGAUC